UGUGAGUGUGAUGAGUUGCCCUGUGGUAGAGCAAUCAUGUUGGGUGACAUGGACUCUUCAGAAUCUCCCUGAUGACAAAACUAAGUGCACAGGGGCCAUUUGACUUGCU